UACGUAGGGUGCGAGCGUUAAUCGGAAUUACUGGCGUAAGGCGUGCGCAGGCGGUUCGUUAAGUUCGUUGUGAAAGCCCCGGGCUCAACCUGGGAACUGCAAUGGAAACUGGCGGGCUUGAGUGUGGCAGAGGGGGGUGGAAUUCCGCGUGUAGCAGGUGAAAUGCGUAGGAGAUGACGGAGGAACACCGGAUGGCGAAGGCAGCCCCCUGGGCCAACACGAUGACCGCCUCAGGCACGAAAGCGUGGGGAGCAAACAGG
rnacentral:rRNA from 1 species